GGAAAGGUGUCCGAGUGGUUUAAGGUAUAAACCUGGAACGUUUAUGUAGUACUUGCUACCGAGGGUUCGAAUCCCUCCCUUUCCG
rnacentral:tRNA from 1 species